CUAAAUGUUCCUUGCCUUUUUCUAAGCAUGGUAAGGUUGCACUCUUGCAGAUCAUAGCUUAGUAGAGAUCAGAAAAUGACUCAAUAAAUACUUUUUUAGGAACAGCUCAUUCAAAAUACAUCACAUAUCAGCUAGUUUUCUUGUUUUCUAACUUUUGUGCAGAGAAUACAAACAUUAAUAUAUCCCCAUUAAGAUCAAGAUAAUAUAGAAACAUGAAAAGUGACAUAUGCUAUUUUCUUACAUCAACCAAUUCAAAGUUCCUUUGAUUUAAACCCAUACUUUCACAUUAUUCGCACAAUUCAAUCUUUGAUUCAAAAUACUAAAUCUGACACUCUAAAACUCUAAAAAGGCAAAAAUAUCGCUUGGUACAUUAUUUUGGAUGCUACAAUCCAUGACCUAACGUUUUUGACCUAGAUCUAAAGAACAACCAUGAAAUGAAAUGAGUUUCCUUUAAAUUGAGAACAAAUAUCUCCUCACAAAACCAUGCCAAGAUCUUUUUCAAGAAUUAAUUUAAACCAAUAAAUAUAAGUUAUACAUAUAGCUCCAUUAUACACUUAAUUCAUUUACACACACAAACAAAAACUAAUUAAGAACAAGUACGGAUCUACGGCAACUUCAUGAAUUAAAUAAAUAUACCACUUAAUUAUUAGUACAUAUACAAACCUGCAUAUAUAACACCCACCCUAAUGAAAGGGGAGGGAGACACGAAUACUACACAUAACAAAAUAUGUUGGUAAUUAUAUAUAUAGCUAAAUUGUUCUACCUGUCAUGCCUGAGCCACAUGGAUGACAAGGGAGAGUAUGCAACCUGAACUCGAACCGGACCGCGAACGACGUAGCCGGCGAACCGGACCGCUGCGGUGGCGACCGACAUGUAGUCCAUGAUCAUCUUGCUCGCCUCAUGAAGCAUGCAAAUGCUCUUCCUCAUGAUCACACCUAGAACUACUGAUAUUGCACUCUCCCAGCUAACCAUGUUCCCCACCUUUUUUUCUUUUUUUUUUUUCUUUUUCUUUUUCUUUUUAUUUUGCUGGAAUAGGAAUAUUUGGGCUCUGAAUAUGCACCUUGAGAAUAAUCUUUGUAUGUUCAAUCAUUAAAAUAAGUAGCCAUCAUGUAUCUACCCUUUCUUUUUCUUAAGAAAAGGAUCUAUAGCUACUAUUUAUCAAUGCGCAGUGAUAAAACUUUUAGUUAAGUACAAAAGGAGAUAACAGUGAUAGGACCAAAACACCCUAAACAAGUUAAUAAACCUGGUUUACUAAAUAAGUGAAUUUUGGUUAGCUUCUAAGUUCUAACAAGGUCAAACAAUUGUUUUGGUGCAUAUAUAAGUGGGUACAUAUAUAUAUGUAAUAUCCUUUUUUUUCAUUUUUUUGGCUCUUAUAUAUGAAGAAAAAGCUGGGAAAACAACGCUAUGUAUCAUGCGUUUGUAGGUAAACUAGGGCCUUUGUUAAAGUCUCAAUCAGAUAGAAGCUUCUCUUACUACAUAUAUGUAGGUUAAAAGUAGGCAGAGUUUGAAGAAACAUAAAUUUACCAUACUUAUGUUAUAGAUUAUUUAUAUAAUAAAUUAGUCCAAAUGUACGAAUAAUGUAGUGUCCAAGUCCAAACGUAUUAAACUCUUUUCUUUU
rnacentral:lncRNA from 1 species